GUCUAUAGUCAUACCACCCUGAACACCCCCUAUCUCGUCUGAUCUGGGAAGCUAAGCAGAGUCAGGCCUGGUUAGUACUUGGAUGGGAGAACAUUCUCCAGGAUAGACC
rnacentral:rRNA from 1 species